rnacentral:lncRNA from 1 species
CCAACUUUCAUUCAUUCUCCUACCCUCCACCCUUUCCUAUCUGUCGCUUCUCUGCCGAUCUUCUUGUCUCCUUCAUUUCCACCCUUCCUCAUUCUCUCUCUCUCUCUCUCUCUCUCUCUCUCUCACUCUUUUCGCCCAGUCUUUCUCAUUUCUCUACCUCGUUUUCGCUUCGUUUCAAGUGCUUGUCUCUCUCUCUCACCGCACAGUUCCGUUGUCAUUUGGAACAUGUUUCAUCUGAUUUAUGGACACUUGUGCCGUUGAUACCCAUCGCAUACACGGACAUACAGCUGCCUGAACACGCACUCCUCUGCAUCCAUCCAUCACUCUUAACCAGUUGCAGCCGGUGUGUAUACCAUGCACUCCAACACUCCGUUGUCCUUUUCUCUGCUUGCCGUUUACCCGGAUAUCUGGUGUAUGACGGACAUGUUUCGGAAGAUGAACAGUAUUUCAGCCGUAAAUUAGAAGAGGAGGAGGACGUGGAAACACAUACCAUAACCCACACAGACAGACUCCGGGUAAGGUCUAGUGUUCUUCAUAUGUAGUGCUUCACACCACCUGUGCUCGCGCCCGCGCACACACACACACACACACUAUAGCAUCCAUACAUACACACACGAGCGUCACAAGGUGUAGUGCUGCGUGAAAAGGACUUCCACGCGAUGCAUACACUCACAGCAUACGUUCUCUGUCUGUCUGUCUGUCUCUCUCUCUCUCUCUAUCUCUCUAUCUAUCAUCAAUGUGUGUGUGUGUGUGUCAACACAGAUACGGGCAAAUACGCGCCGCCGCCACCGUCAUAGUUGUCAUCAUCGCCAUCAGCUUCAUCAUACAUCAAAUAUGAAGUAGUUAUAUAUUUCCUUGCAACAUAAUUUUGUGUAGAAUAGGAGUAGCCAAGUUUCAAGACUUUCUGCUUCUAUGUGUGUGGAAAGAGAGAGAGAGAGAGAGAUGAAAUGAAGGAAGAGAGCAUGAUUGUCACUGCAUCCCAAUCCAAACUUGCCAUCACUCCUUAUUCCAGUCAUUAUAAUUUCUUGGCACCCACCUACUUCCACUUAAAACAGUAGCAUUUAUACUAUUUUACAUUUAAAAAAAACAACAACAUUUCGUCUAUUUAGACCUCCAAUCCCCUUACUUUUUCAACCCGCUCCUCUUUAACAUCCCCUCCUCAUCAUCUAUCCCCUGUAGAAAUAUCAUCAUCAUCAUUAUUAUUAUUAUUAUUAAUUGAUAUUUAUUGUUUUUAAAAUGUGUGUCACAGGUAUAAUCAUAUCGAAUUCUUUCAGUUGGUCUUCUUUCGAAUCUUCUCAUAUACCAAAUAUUGUUGACUGUGAGAGUGUUUAGUAUAUUUUCUCUACAAUACAAAUGCUUAGCAAGGAAGUGGUAAUAUAGUGCCUGUAAUACAAGAUUACACAGUAAUUUGUUUGUUAUAUAUGAAUGCGAGCGCGCAAUCAGAUGUGUGUGUCGGAAUGUUGGUCUGAAAUUGUAUGUAUGCGCUUGUUGCCCUAUCAUGUGUAUUAAUUCAAGUUCGACCUUAAAAAAAUAAAAUUAAAAAAAGCAAACAUAUAUAAUGUAAGCAAUAUCAUGUAAUCAAUUCUUAAUUAGGUACUUUUUUAAUUAUAGUGGAUUUGAAAUGAGAAAAUAGUUUUAUUCUCACUGUUCUUGCGUAAAACUUAUUUAUUAACCCCCCCCCCCUUAAUGAACAAAACUACAUAAUGUGGUAUGAGAGAGUUUCAGACUAUUUUGUGUAGCCACAUGAGGAACGCUUUUGAACCUGAAUUUAUAAUUCUUGAGAAAAUAAUUAUUGAUCAGAUGUUCUUAUUUCUCCCAUCACUUUUUCACUUCUAACAUAUUUUAACGAACCUUCUUUUCGUCUAAAUAUUUACUUUCGAGUUUUUUGUUCGACACUUAAGACCUCCUCUCUCCUUUUAAUGACCGUCAACUGCAGAUGGCUAAGUACCAUAAGCUCGUCUGUGAUUCAUGUCCCGUCACCGACGCUCUCACAUCUGACCAUUUAACAUUGCCAAGGGGCCUCAUCUCAACUCAUUUUAUUUGCAAUUCGUUAUCACAGAAUAGGUAGAACUGAAGCCCUCACCGAACUUCACAAUUCGAUGUACUCUCUCUCUCUCUCUCUCUCUCUCUCUCUCUCUCUCUCUCUCUCUCUCUCUCUCUCUCUCUCUCUCUCUCUCUCUCUCUCUCUCUCACACACACACACACACACACUGCUUUGCGAAUCAAGGAUUAAAAUAAACGAGUAAUUCAUGUCAGGUAACGUAGAUAUUUCGUCUCCCAGUUACUGGUUGUCUGCUGUUUACUUGGAAGAACUACGGCAAUGGGGGAAAGUAUGAUUGAUCCACAGCUGAACUCACCAACCACGCAUCCUAUCUAACCUUUGUGUGUGUACGUUUGCAUGAUCAUCAUCGUCUUCAUGUUCGCUUUUCCAUGCUGGCAUGAGUCGGACGGAAUUUUCUACAGCCGGAUGCCUUCCCUGUCGCCAAUCUCCACCUGGUUUCAAGUAAGGUAAUAUUUCCUCAUGGCGAGACAUGUUUUUCACGGAAUACUCGGAACAGAGGACACCGCUUGCAUGACGGUGACACUCGCGUAAAACUAUCAUGCGAUGUGAAGGCAAAGAGACAGUAGCACACACAUACACGCACAGAGUUAGAUAUAGAUGGGCUUCUUUCAGUUCCCGUCUGCCAAAUCUACUCACAAGGCUUCGAUUGACUCAGGGCUAUAGUAGUAGACACUUGCCCAAGGUGUCACACAGUGGGACUGAACCCUCAACGCAUGUGGCUGGGAAGCGAGCUUCUUACCACACAGCCACGCCUGUGCGCGCACCCGAGUUAUUAGCUUAAACCAGACGAAGCUGGGCUUCCUCUGACUUUUCAGGGUUUCUGUGACUGGCAAGAGAAGGUUAUCUUCAAACUGGAGACCUGGACGAAAUGCUUCCAUCUGCGAACUCCUAAAACCCCUCAAAGAUCAUUUAACCAAUGUUCAAAUAUAUUCAUAACUUGUGUAAUCUAUACUAAGCCGAACUGCAGGCAUUUGGCUACAUCUUGUUUUUUCUUCUCUUAUGUAAGUUUUCCUUAACAUACUUGUAAUGUAUUUUAUACAGAUGAAAAAUUCCCUUGUCACUUUGGGUUCGAUUGUUAAAACUAAAACCCUAUUCGCCCAUCUAAAGUUUACCUUUGCGCUAUUGGGGGAGGAAGAGAUGUGACAGUUUCUGUUAAAUGACAUAUGACCAAAGACUGUUGAGCGGGAGGUGUCAGUACAUGAUGAACAACACUACGUGCACAAACUCAACAAGAUUAUAAUCUGUUUCUUUACUACCCACAAGGGGCUAAACACAGAGGGGACAAACAAGGACAGACAAACGGAUUAAGUCGAUUAUAUCGACCCCAGUGCGUAACUGGUACUUAAUUUAUCAACCCCGAAAGGAUGAAAGGCAAAGUCGACCUCGGCGGAAUUUGAACUCAGAACGUAGCGACAGACGAAAUACUGCAAAGCAUUUCGCCCGGCGCGCUAACGUUUCUGCCAGAUCGCCGCCUUGUAACAAGAUUAUAAUCGUUGACGCUGUAUUUAACAUGUAUAUAUAAAUGUGUGUGUACAUAAAUUAUAAUUAUUGCAUUUCUUCCGGUUCUUAACAUCCUGAGUUCAAAUCCUGCCGAGAUUGAACUUCACCUUUCACGCCCCCCCUGCGGGGUGGUGGUCGAUAGAAUAAAGUACCAAUGAAGUACUGCAGUCGAUGUAAUCGAUUUACUCCCCCAACCACAUCCCCCUAAAAUUGCUGCUCUUGUCGUGACCAUCUGGUCUUUUUUGCAUAUUCUUAACUAUAUUACCCCAGCCCACUCCCGCCAUUGUAAUUUGAUGUAGAUUUGGCUAUUAUUUCCAGUAGGUCUCGAAGGACAAAUGGAUUUUCAGUGUUUAGUGUAGUCACGUUAUGAGUUCAAAUUCUCCUGAAGUCGAUCGACUUCGUCAUUCAUUCUUCCCAGAUCGUUAAAACAGGUAUUAGUGAAGUACUGAGAUCAAUAUGAUUGAUUAUCCUUGUGGGUCUUGUACCUGUAUUAUAAAAUAUUUCUUGAAGUCGCAGGGGUCUGUGCAUUGACAGAAUCGUCAGAGCACCGAAACAAAUACUUGGCGGGGCUUCUUCCGGCUCUUUACAUUCUGUGUUCAAAUUCUGCCGGAGUUGAUUUUGUCUUUCUUCCUUUCGGGUUCGAUAAAUUAAAUAAGUUCCACUUGAGCAGUGGAUGUAAUCGAUGAGCCCCCCCCGCCCCCCGCACCAAAGGCGAUGGAGCGUCAGAUCAAUUGGUUUUAAUUUACGUUCACUCCUUUACCUCGCUGCUUUCGUACCAGUCAUAUACUGGAGUCGAUGCAAUUAACUGACACAUCCUACAAAUUUGUGACAUGGCAUAAUGGCGUAGCUAAUGUGUGCUGCAUAGGACCACCCUAGAAUUUGUCAUCUUCAUGCCUCCCCUUAUACUGGUUUUUACAGUUGACCCAAAAGGGCCUCCCGCAGCGGAUGCCCCCAAACCCAGUGCAAUGGACAUGACAGAGCUCGGAAUUUUGUUUCAUUUUUCGUUCCUUUACUUUCCGAUGUCAAAUUCUUUCCGGGUUCGAUUUUUGUUCUUCGUUGCUCUGGCAUCACAAUAAGAUUACGUAGAAGUUAUUAUUUAACCCCAGGUCUGAUCUGGUCGAGCGGAACUGUGGUCAAAGACAUUUCGAAGUUGUAUUGCACAAUGUUAAAGCAUUAGGGCUUGUUUGAUUCAAGAUAGAUUUGAUAGAUUUUGGUUGCUAUUUCUAGCGAGUCGAGUGACCAUAUAGAAGCUCCCUGGUUCCGUCGUUGAUGUUGUUGUUUAUAACUUCUUGUCGGUUGUGGUCCUUGACUAAAGACAUUCCAGCGGCACCCACGCCUUUUAUCUUUUACUAGAUUGUGGUCGUAUUGAGACACCACCUUGAAGAGGUUGGUUGAACCAAUUCACCCCUGGUGCUUAUCUUAAAGUUUGGUACUUAUUCUAUCGCUUUUUUUUUGCCAAACUUCUAAAUUACAGUGACGUAAACAAACCAACACUGGUUGUCAAGUGGUGGUGGGUGACAAACACAUACAUAUACGACGGGCUUCCACACUGUUCCCGCCUACCAAAUUCGCUCUCAAGUCAUUAGUUGAUUCGGGGCUUUAUUAAUAGACACUUGUCCAAGGUGAUGUCACGCAUGGAAAUGGAUGCAAAGCAAGGCUCGUAUUUAAGGGUGUUUGGCCCCUUAUUAACCUUGAUCAGAGCUGAUUGAUUUGUGAUCUAAAGUGAUUGAGUCGUGAGUCCAAUGUUUUUUUCUUCAUGCAAAGCAGUCAAGUGUUGAGGGAAAUUCAGAUGCUAUUUCUAGCAGGUCGAGCGACUACGUUAGGAUCUCCUUCGCUUCGUUGCUGUUGUGGAUAUAAAUUUAUGAACAGAAGUGUCUUCAGUUUUCACUUUGUGCUAGAUUUCGGGAAUAAGAAAGUCUGCGACACGAAAAACUUAAUUACUGCAGUGUGUGUGUGUGUGUGUGGUAAGACCAGGGUGGAUCUGUCGACUUCUGCUGUAUGCAACUUGUAUAGUAAGAAAGAAAGGAAAGGAAAAAGCUGAGACCAUCCAUCUUUUUAGGAUUCUCUUAAUGUCUCAUUGUGUCUGAGAGAAUCAGACUGGCCUUAUUAAGAAGUCCGUUUCGCAUUUACAUGGGGUCUCGUUCAAUUCCACUCCAGUAACGUCUUCGUCAGAUGCCUUUUUUUAUUAUAACUUCUGGUCGACCAGAAUCUUGUGACAGAAAUUUGGUAGAGGUGACAAAUGCCCUGCAGCCAAUCGCAAGGGCCGCUUCUACCCGUGAUUUAUAGAUUUAAUCCGUCAUACGGUUCUGCACCAAUCGCCAGAUUCUUGGAUGUAUUUCUCACUUUGUUGCAAAUAUUCUGACCAGAUGCAGUGGAGAAACUUGAGUGUGUGUUCCGCCUGGGGAGGCCCUUGAGUUUGCUGUUCCCUCCUCCCCAUGCCCUCAAGCAUAUAUAGGCUUAUGCAGACCUAACAGUUACGCCCCUAAUAAAAGCGUCGCCCGAGGCGCUUCGCCCUUCUCGCCCCCACCUAGUCAGCUAUUGACCAAAUCCCCGCUCCGCCGGUCAUGGAAACUUCUGAAAAGGGUUAUGAGCACUGCUCUUCCUCUUUUGAUUAAGCUUUUAAAACAAUAAAUAUUGAACACUACGAGCUAACAACCACUAAUGGGAAAUAAUGAGAUGUGAACCACCACCGCCACCACCGUCUUCGUAUUGCUAUAAAAUCCAACCACCAGAAAAUUAUGUGCCACUGUAUUGUCUGCUUUAUUCGAUUGAUUGCUUCAUUGUUCCACUCUGGCAUCGCAGAAACGAAAGUUUGAAUUUAUUCUAUCAAUAAUUAUUAAGCUAAAUAAUAUUUCCCCCUCUCCCCCCUAUCUCUCUCUGAAAUGUCGCCUUUUUAGCAAGUUAUUUGGAUAUUAACAAGCAUUGCUUAAUAUUCAAAUGUAUGAAUACACGAUCUGACGAUAUCACUUAAACGCAAUACAUAUUUAUGUGUUCACAUAAAUAUGUAUUGCAGUAGAAUUAUUGCACAAUAGGGUUUUGUGGCGUUCAUACCGUUCCGCUAUCCCAUUCCAGAAUACAUGCAAAUGUUUCACUCACUCAGACUAGGGGCACACAUACGUACACACACAUGCAAAGAAACAGUGACUUCGAAGUCGCAGCUUGUUCGCCUUCAUCACUGCGCUCUACUUUACCCUAAAUCACAACAAAACCCAACUUUCUAUACAAAGAAUGUCGUGAGCUGCAUUUGGCGCAUCUGUUUAUACCUUUACUUUCACGCCUGACUGAUCCCUAAACAAUAACAAUUCCUGUAUCAAACCAGAAUAAAUCUCGUUAUAACUUUAUAUCACCCUAUACCCCACAAUCACACUUUCUUUUCCUCCUCAGUUCUCCCCCUUCCUACACAGCUACUUUCCCUAUUUACCCCACACCAGAAAAUAUCUUACCCAAAACCAUAUAAAGUCAAUAAGAAUCCAGGUUGAGUAUGAUGAAGGCAAGCAGGCCGAAACUUCCAAGAUACUCUCAACCUUUUCCUUGUAGAAGUUGAUAAAUAUGUUCUCUACUAAAAUGUCUUGAGUCGGCCAUCAGUUUAAUGUUAAAUUGUUUUUAUGUGUAAUUUCAUAUAAACACACACGCACUCGCGCGCGCUCUCUAUUAAUUUAGCAAAAAAUAUUCAUUUUGGGCUUCUUUCAAACACAAUCCACUUGUUUUUGAAAACUUUUCGCUACUUUUUAUAAACUUGAAUCUGUUGAACUUUUCUCUUUUCUUUUUUUUUAGUUUGUAAUCAUUUAAAACUAAUUUGGAAAUCUCUGUUGUGGGUUUUGUUAGAAAAUCUCUUCCUUCUUAGUAUAAACUUCGCAUAAAGCUACCGGGAACACGCAUUCGCGCGCGCGCACACACACACACACACACAGUGACUCUUCUCCGCACCACUGCAGCAAUGGACUGCAUCACUUCCUGCGGAGUGUAACUCGAGUGAUGAUGAGAGGUUAGAAUGUCUCUACUUUCACUUUCGUCAAUCGGUAGCUUGUAUGAUCUCGUUUUGGCGACCGCAAGUUGGUAGAAUCGUUAACGCCUCAGACUAAAUGCUUAACGGCAUUUCUUUCGGUUCUGUAUAUUCUGAGUUCAAAUCUCGCCCAGGUCGACCUUGCUUCCUUUCUGGGAUAGAUAAAAUAAGGACCACUGGGGUCGAUGUAAUCGAUUUAGCCCCUCCCCUAAAAUUGCUAGGCAUCGACUUGUGAUAAAAAAAAAAUGUUCUUAGAAGAGAUCCUUGAAUUAAGGCUUUUUUUUUUCUUUAAAUUUUAAAAGUCUCUGACUUACAAUUAAGAUGUGGUUGUGCCUAAAUCCGGGGGUUGUUGCGGGCCCGCGCGCGUGCGCACGUAGCAAGAUAAACUGUUUGCUUUAGGAGAUAGGGUCUUAAUAAGGAACUUCUCGUGCUUGGGAUGGAUGUGGAUUGUAUCGGAUCGUUUAGAAUUGUUUUUCUUGUUUAAUGAGGAAGACAUGGCACUCGACUGUGAAAUAAAAUCAUAUCAAUUAUUCUGAUGUUAUUAAUAAUGUUUGUAGCAGUUUUAUAAUUUGAAACCAAUGAACACAAUAGUCUUCACACGUUAUUGUCUUCAUUCGUUUAAAAUAUAAUACAUAUAUGAUAUAAUAUAUAUAUAUGAUAUAAUACAUAUAUGAUAUAAUAUAUAUAUAAUAUAAAUAAGAUAUAACAACUUCCUCUCAAUUGAUAGCCGAAAAAUAAAUUUUAAAAAAAUCCUUCGAUAAAGAGUCCUCUCCGGUUACCAGACAUAAAAUAACCUGUGAUAGAUGUGUGAAUGUGGAGAUAUUAACCCAAGGAUCGCCGAGACGAAAGGUUGGUAGUGGUUACUAAAACUCUGAUUCUCUUCAGGGGAAGGAUUCAACUCAGAGCAGCUUUAAACCCUUUUGUUCCGCCUCAAGGUAAAUUAACUUGUUUAAUUUUGUGAAUAGUUUUUACUGUAUUGCUGUCACAGCUCAGCAUUCGUUUCGUCGGAUUUUGAAUGUAACGAUCAAGACACGAUGUCGUAACCGGACCAAAUAGUAGUCGGGCUGUUUUGCUGUUGUUGGAAACAGGUUUUAUAUAAUGUGUAAUAUUGACAAGAGGCGACCUUCAGAUCCCAUGUUUUGUGUAUGUAAAUGUAGUGUUUUUAGUCUAGUGUUCAGCUUAUUUCCCAAUAAUCAACAUUCGAAUAGAUGUUAGUCGUUAGUCUAUGCACUGACAUCACCACUUAUUCCGAUAUUCCAAUAAUUAAACUUUCCGAACAGUUCCUUCUGUAUUCGUUUUAGUUCUUUAGUUUGGCACCGAGGAGCACGAGUUAGGAACUGUCAUGCUGUUCUCCCCCCCCCCUUCCCGUUAAGUAUUUAUUUGUCUGCUCCACCGAACAGCCGAACGAACGUUCGAUCCACGAAAUUUCGCUUCCACUUCUACAGUGAGCUUUCUCCACCUCUACGAUGUCUACUUGCCAACUGUUUUAGCGUUGUCUCAUGACCCACUCUUAAUCUAGAAUACUAACACAGAUGCCUACAUAGACAGACACAUAUACGCACUUACAGAUGGGCACACGUGAUUCCGUACUAUUGUUAGCACAACAGAUCGUAUAUAAUAAAUACUCCAGCCACUGCUUCGCUCUCUAAAUCAUUGCUUUGUUUGAUUUUAGUUUCAGAUUAAAAUUGCUAUUAAUCAGAGUAAAAACCAGACUCGGGAAACUGGCAGGGGUCUACCUCUGCAACGAUGAGUAAUCGAAGGAAAGGCAGAAAUAUAUAUAAUGUAUAUUUUAUAUAUGUGAGGUAUGUUUGCCAUCACAUUGUCGUGCAGUUACUGUUUAUACCUCGUUCAGAGAUUUAUUAUAUUAUAUUAUAUUAUAUAUAUAUUUAUAUAAUGAGGAAAAGAAAAAGGCCGGUACGAAAGAAAAGCUAUCUUUAUCUGGGCAAACUUCUUGUUUCUCUUAUCAAGUCCCUUUUCUUUCGACUCAUUCUCAUCUUUUCACUGUUGUUGCCCCCCCCCUCCUUACAAGAUGUUUCAACUCUGCUAGUGUCUUUCUUCGAACAUCUUGUCUUCCAUCUUGUUUCCCUGAUCGAUUUAAUUGUAUUUAAAAAAAAAAAAACAGAAAAGAAAUUUCUGCUGAUCGUUUAAUGUUUUUUAAGGCAGGACUGUUCUACUGGAUAUUUUGUUCCUCUUUUCUUAUCUAACUUCCAACAACGUGGUUGUUUGAGGACUGUUCUAUUGCUGGUUAUUUGCUGCUUUGUUGAUUGUAGCUUCUUGUAGAUAGCAAGCGUACGAAACUAUCUUCUUCGUCGAGAAUAGACGUUAACCCGAAACGUCGCAGUUUUGUUCAUCAUUUUGUUGCGGUAACAUUUAUUUUAUUGUAUCUCGAGAGGGUCAUUAUGCCAAUAAUAAAAAAAAACACACGCACUGGUUCCGUUUCACUUGUCAAUUGGUUACCUGUUUAAUUAUCUAAUUGAUUGUUUGAUUAAUCAAUCAGCUACGUUUGUCGAAGUCUUUUUGUUGCCAUUCGCGACCUCUUCAAUGACGUGCCUUCUCUAAUAAAUUGAUCAAAGUAAUUGGACCUUCUCAUUCAAAAUACUUCCCCUUCCCAAGUAACUAAGUUUUCACGAUCUCAAAUUCAAAUGCAAUCUUUGGGAGGAAUUGCAAGGAGCUAAUUCCUAGGCAUUGUUGUGCCAAUCUGAUCCAAACGCCUUGUCCUCAGUGAUGCAGCAAUGCUAAAAAUAAUAACAAUCCUUUCUACUAAAGGCACAAGGCCUGAAAUUUUGGGGGAGGGGACUAGUCAAGUACAUCGACCCCAGUGUUUCACUGGUACUUAAUUUACCGACCCCGAAAGAAUGAAAGGCAAAGUCAACUUUGGCGAAAUUUGAACUCAGAACGUAAAGACAGACGAAAUGCCGCUAAGCAUUUCGCCCGGCGUGCUAACGAGUCCGCCAGCUCGCCGCCUUGAUAAUCCUUUCUACUCUAGGCACAAGGUCUUGUGGGGAGGAGGAAGUCGAUCAUAUUGACCCCAGUACUCAACUGGUACUUGCUUUAUCGAUCCCGAAAGGAUGAGAGGCAAAGUCAACCUCGGCAGAAUUUGAACUCAGAAUGUAAAGACGGGUGAAAUGCUGCUAAGUAUUUCGCCCGGCGUGCUAACCAUUCUGCCAGCUCCCUACCUUGAUGAUGAUGAUGAUGAUCCUCCUUAUCAUCGUCAAAUAGUUUGCUUUCGGAUUCUGAACGAAGGGAUCUGAUAUCAAAAGCGUCCCAACUUUGACUUUACUCUUCUUAAAUUUUGCUUGCUAGGGUCGUCUUUUUCUUUUUCUGUUUUUGAGAUGUGAACACGUGAUUUGUAGAUUUGGCUGUUAUUUCUAGUAGGUUGAGUUAUCGCAAGAUGAUCUUGCUAAUAUAUAUAUGUGUGUGUGUGUGUGCAAUUGAAAAAGCAGCAAAAAAUUUGUUUCUAAACAAAACUGUCCGACGAACGGGAACGUGAAACUCUGAGAAACAGUUUUUGUGAUAUUUUUGCUCCUUUUUGAUAAAGCAUAUUACUCUACAUCUGGUAUUCGAGUACUAUUCUUUCGACCCGGUUUCGCAUUUAUGUGCUUACUCUGGUGUGUGUGUGUGCGUGUAUAUAUAUGUGUGUAUAUGCUAUAUAUAUGCGUAAGAGUGGGUGUGUGGUAAGUAGCUUGCUUCCCAACUACAUGAUUCCAGGUUCAGUCCCACUGUGUGGCACCUUGGGCAAGUGUUUUCUACUAUCAUCUCGAGCGGGCCAAAGCCUUGUGUGUGGAUUUGGUAGACGGAAACUAAAAGAAGCCCGUCGUAUGUAUGUAUAUAUUUAUGUUUGUGUUUGUUCCCCCACCAUUGCUUGACAGCGGAUGUUGGUGUGUUUACAUCCCUGUCACUUAGCGGUACAACAAAGAGAACGAUAGAAUAAGUACUAGGCUUACAAAGAAUAAGUCCCGGGGUCGAUUUGUUCGACCAAAGGCGGUGCUCUAGCAUGGCCGCAGUCAAAUGACUGAAACAAAUAAAACAAUAGAAGAAUAUAUAUAUACACACACACGAAGGACUUGCCCGUCGUUAGAUGACAUAUGACGAAUGAGGUUUCCGCAGUUUCUUACCAAACAGCCACACAGAUGAUUUGUUUAUAGUGAUCAAAUGUUUGUGGUAGACAUAAGCUCACUCCCUCCAUCAAAUUGACAUUACCUGUACAGGUGCGUCAUAUGCCACAUGUUUGAUAACGAAAUGAUCGCAGAGAGCAACGUGAAAUGAAGUGCUUUGGUCAAGAGCAUGACACAACGCCCGGUCUGGGAAUGGAAACCAUGAUCUCGUAGUCGUGAGUGCAAAAACUUCACAAGCUGCGACACCAGUGGAUACUGACAACUGACUGACCACUGGUUAUGUAAAACUCUUCAAUAACAGUCUGUGAAGUUUUUUCAGCUUGAACAAAAUAUAUGGCUCUACCUUUGGUAUUCGAGUCCUGUUUUUUUUCCAGCUUGUUUUCCACGCAUGUGCGUGUGUGCGUAACACUUUCGUGUCAGUAAUGUAAGGUGUCCAUAUUUCUAGAUAUCAAUUUCUGUAUUUUAUUUUCCUUGAGUACCAAGCACUUUACAAGUAAACUAUCAAAAAUAUGAGAUGACACAGCUUUGUAAAACCUUAUGACAGACAAAGAAUGUAGAAGAUAAAAAAAUUGAUAUUUUAUCUGAUUUAAAAAAAACCGUUUCGUAAUAAGUUUGAAAGUUAAAACCUUACUAAAUAUAACCUAUUCGGCUGGUGCUCUUUGUCCACCUGCACACUUUCUCCCCCCCCCCCCAUCACAUUCAUAUGUUCUCAAUUUAUUUGAAUGUCAUUCGUUUAUCACCCAUUUCAUUGCAUUUUAUAUUUGGUGGUCCUUCGGUAUUGGUAUCCAGUGCGUCAGUAUGAGGAGACAUCAUCCACCCUCAUCUUUAUCUAUGUCUUGAGGGAAGGUUGUGUGUGUGAAUGACAUCAUUAACCAAUACUGAAGGAUUUCUUUAUAUUUUUAUUUUCCAAGAGUGUCUCAUGUUCACCCAUGGUAAAUGCAUUACGAUCGUGUAAACUAAAAACUUAAAUUUGGGUUCAAAUAGUUCCACAUCCGUUCAUAAGAGGUGUAGUCGGCCAAAUGUAGUUGUAGCUAAGCAGACCUAUUAUCAAGGACGUUCCAUUCAUGAGCAUCACGCCUUUCUUCUCCUAGCAGCAGUGUAUUGAGGAUAACAUUAUAUCCUCCAAUAUGUGAAUUAAGGGAGGCUUUUAGCUUAAUCGCGUUGUGCAGUGAUUCUUAUUCACCCUUAUUUUUUAAUUAUCGACUUUUAUUAACCCACUUUCAAUGUCCCGAGCUAUGAUUCUAGAAAUAUAAAUACACCAAAAGGCUGCCAACAAGUUUGAUCACAUUAAAAGACUUCUUGAAUAUAAGUCAUUUCACCAAUAUUAAUAUGGAAUGAAAAAAAUAUACUGGCCACUGAUAUUGGUUUCAAAUGUUGGCGCAAGGGAAGAGUGAGUAAGGGCUCCGUUAGGACUUAUUUUAUUGACCCGAAAGGAUGAAAGGCAAAGUCAACCUCGGCGAAAUUUGAACUCAGAAUGUAAAGACGGACAAAAUGCAUCUAAGCAUUUUGCCCAGCGUUCUUAACAAUUCUGCCAGCUUGCCACCUCAAAGACGGAAGAAAUAUAGCUAAGCAUUUUGUCCGGCACGAUAAUUUUGACUGUCAAUAUCACAAGAUGUUUCGCACCCCUCACCCCAAAAAUUAGAAUGUUAGAGCAAUUAAAAGAUUUAUAAUUUAUUGCCCCCUUAUUGCUCCUUUUGUUCUCAGUACCCAUAUAACCCCACUUCUUGAUCCACCUUGAAAAGUCCUGGUGUAAAGGUCUCUCGUUAGUUGCUUUGAAUGUUAUGAACGUUGAAUUAUUGUCGAGUAGCGAUUGUAAUAAGGAGUAUUGCAAAAAUAUUAAUUAAAAGGGUCUGAGUCAGCAAUUGGUUUUGCUUGUUUGUGCUACUCGAUGCUGAAUAAGUGGCAUGUUUAACUUUGUGAAAGUCAAUACUUUCAACGACACCAGCCUCUCUUAUUGCUUCAUCAAUUACUCUUAAUAGCUGUCAAGGUCAACAACUAUAACAAGCUGUAGCAGUUGUUGACCUUCAUCAUAUCGACAUCUCGCUGAGCAAGUUUGGGUUUGCACUUGAAAUGGAUGUUCUGAUCUGACACGGUUGUCAGUGGGAAGACACUCAAGAUGGAGAAGAACAUCAAAUACCUCGGCGCAGGAAUCUCCUCCUCAUUGUCGUCGUCGUUCAGGGAUCCAUGGUAUUAAUUCAUGACAUGCCAAAAGUAUGGACGUCUGGAUUCAGCUGGAAGAUGAAGCGUUACCCGCUUCGUCUCCUUCCUGCUUUAUAGGACAGAAUCAUGAAUACUAACUGAUGCCCAGAAAAAAAAAAAGAAGAAAAAAAUAAAGAAAUCGAUGGAUGUCUGUUAUAUUAGGAAUGCAUGCUUUAUUAUUUCAACACAAAUUUAAGUUUGUGCGACGAGUUUAAUAUAGAAUAAUGAGUAAAAGAAAUGGAAGAGGCGUCAGUUUGAUUAUGAUCAUAUGAGGGGGAUUCUAAUUGCAUUUAUGUUGUGAGAAGAAAACAUUCCCUCUAUAACUUAUGCCAUUUAUUUAAUCUAGUCUCUGCAAGAAAGGGUGACUACUCUGAAUAUUUUCCCGUCUAAUUACACCUCUUCAGUGAAGCCGGUGAAUCAGUUGAAAGAUCAGUCUGUUGUAAUCUAUUUUUGUGGUGCAAACCCUGGUUUAACACUUUGUUGGGCUGGAAGAUACCUCAAAGUAAAAAACAAAGCUUAUCAAAGGUCGUGCGGAACCUGCAAAACUUUAAUCGAUGUGAAGGUUUCUGUAAUGCAAUCCCAGGGGCUGAGAUGGGACCCCAAACAGCAGUGUGAAAUACGUACUAGUGUCUAGCUCAAGAUGUAGGCGCGUGGUAAUAAGUACAGCAGAAAUUUACAAGUGUUGAAUUGUAUUUAUUUUGAAUUACAAGGUGCAUUCCACAAGUUUUCGACACUUUUUCAGGAGAGACAUUAAUUUCAAAGAAGCUUAAAGCUCUAAUCUCCUUCAAAGUAGAAUCGUCCGACUUCGAUGCAUUUGUUGUAGCAUUGCAACCACUGUGUGAAGACCUCAUGGAAGUCUUCCAAAUUGAAGGUGUCCAUGACUCCUAUCGCAGCGUCCUUCAUCUUUUCGGUGUCUUCAAAAAGACUGCCCUUGAGGUUCUCUUUCAGCUUGGAGAACAACCAAAAGUCACAGAAAUCAACCCCACUUCAGCAACAUCUGUAGGGAGGAUGAGGGGCAGUUUUGAUGCCCAUCUCUGUCAAGUAGUUGGUUGCCAGAAUGGAAUUCGGGACUGGUACAUUGCCCUGGUGCAGCUGUCAUCGACCCAAGAAGAAGUCUGGUCUUUUACAAUAAAAUCUCUCCCUGAACUGCCUCAAAAUCUUCAUAAGUUACUCUUUCUUGAGCGUACGGCCAGAGGGAAGCCAGUGGGUGUAGGUGAUGCUCAUACUGCCGAGAAACGGGGAUGAUCAUGAGCUUCCAGGUUGGCUUGCUUUCCUUGGCCUUCUUGGAGCCAGGAUGCUUACGUUGGGCACCCUGUCUCUGGAUCAUAACAGGACAUCCAACUUUCGUCACAUGUCACCAGGGACUCAAGUACUCUUGGAUUGCAGCCCAACCAUCUCCUCGCCGUUACCAAUCCGUCUUUUUGUCUGUUCGUCACUGAGCACCCUGAGAACAAAUUUUGCACUUGUUCUGAUCUUCAUGAAUAAAUCUGUGUACAACUACUACACUAACUCCAAACUAUGCUUAUUGUCUUUACAGGACCCACAAUCUUCAUCCAGAAAAUUGAAUUUUCGCAACCAGCUCCGAUGUUCUGGCGCCCCUCUCCCUCCCACACCUCCUCACUACCGUCUUUGAAUCUCUUUUGUACCCGCGAAAAAUUUAAUCCGUGACCAAUCUGGAGCAUUUCAUAAGUUUCUGCAGCGUUUUUGCCCAGUUCAACAUAAAUCUUUAUAGUAUAGCGAGCUUUCGAACCUCUCGAUUCCAUUCUGCAAACUAGUCGGGGCGGGGGGGUUGAAGCAAAUCCAACGUUUCAAUCUUGAAAAUAAUGAUUUGCUGCAAGAAACAGAAACAGCUUUCAUUUAUAUUUUGUAAUGGUUUGAAUGCUUUCUUUCUUCUUCUAAGUUUGGAUUUUUUUACAUCCUUCGAGAUUGAUAGUAUGAAAGGAAGAAGCUAUCCGGGUCCCAGUGUUGCAACUGGUUGGACGCUUAUGGAGCCAGGCGGUGGUGUAAACCGUGCGACGGACUGAGCCUGUCACACAAGAAAAGGGACAGUCCCCCUGACAGUUUUCAUUGAACCGAAUUUCACUAAGGCUUUGGUCGACUCGAGAUUUCCUAAGAUGAUAUAAACACAGCAUACUUGAUACUGAUUGGAGGUGAAAUCGGUCAAAACACAAAUGUAGAUGUAAAAAUUGUAAAUCUAAAAAUGGAGGAAAAUAUUAUCUUAAUAUAGUAAGGAUUGCUCAUAAAUUUGUAGUGGAUUUCAUCAUUCUUAUUUCUAUACCGCCCACAAGGGGCUACACACAGAGGGAACAAACAAGGACAGACAAACGGAUUAAGUCGAUUACAUCGAACCCCAGUGUGUAACUGGUACUUAUUUAGUCGACCUCGGCAGAAUUUGAACUCAGAACGUAGUGGCAGAUGCAAUACCUAUUUCUUUACUACCCACAAGGUGCUAAACACAGAGAGGACAAACAAGGACAGACAAACGGAUUAAGUCGAUUACAUCGACCCAGGUGCGUAAUUGGUACUUAUUUAAUCGACCCCGAAAGGAUGAAAGGCAAAGUUGACCUCGGCGGAAUUUGAACUCACAACGUAACGCAUACGAAAUACCGCUAAGCAUUUCGCCCGGCGCGCUAACGUUUCUGCCAGCUCGCCGCCUUCAUCAUUCUGGCACGUAUUUCUAUCAAAGCUGGUGAUAAAAUACCAGUUAAUUGGGAUCGAUUCCGGUAAUGCAUCUUAUGUGUGAAUUUCAUUCGAAUAGGCUUCAGCCCGACACGUAACUGAAUACAACAUUCUAUCAGGGGACCACACAUUAUGGUUAAUUUAAUCAAUCUUCGGUACUUAACUAAUACUUAUGUGAUCGGUUCCUGGGGAAAAUCUGAAGAGAGGUCGACCCCAGCAGGAUUUGAACUCGAAGUAUAGGCAUAGGAGGCAAGGCACAAUCUAAGUCUCCUAAUACAAUUCUGGUCCAUCACGGGUGCUUUAUAGGACCAUUAAAUCGAUCAUAGUAUUUGAGUAGAACCCCAAAUGUAUGAAAACCAAGGUUGACCUUGGUAGUGUUUCAACUCGGAACGGAAAAGACGGCGACUGAAAACCGAAGGCAUUUUAAGCAACGAUUUCGCCAGUCUACUUAAAUGGACGACAAAAAUUAUUUUAUUUUCUUGGAUGUAUAAAAUGUAAACUCCGUUGGUAUUUGACCUCGAUAUCUCACUAACAUAAAUAUUGCAAAGGAUUUGGUGCAACAUCUUUGAGUUUUGCCAUCCACUGCCGAAGACGUUCUUUCAUGAAGACCAACAGAGCUAUUGUCAGUUUCGUAUUUUGGGGUCAUGUCAAUAUUAGUAAUAUGACAAUGGAAUAGAUGAUAUCUCGCUUUAUAAAAGUGAUUUUCAGCUUACGGAAGAAACUAUAUUGUGUCCAUUUUGAAUCGUUCUUAGUCUUUAUUAAUAAUAAUAAAAAAAACAUACAGAAUUUAACAGUUAAUAUAUUUACCGUAUCUUCUAUUUAUCAUAUUUCUGUGUAAAUUAAUCGUACGAUUGCAAAUUGAAACCUUAUCUAUUAUUUUCCAGAAUAUUUUUUCCAGUCAUUUCAAAUUCUUAAAUUUUUUACUUAAUAAAAAUGAUCAGCAAUCACUUAUAUAAAAUAAAAUAUUAGACCUGUGUGUGUGUGUGUGAGAGAGAGAGAGAAAGGAAGGACGGAAAUACGAAAUUAAAAUAAGCCUAGCUUUUUACAUCGCGUUUUCAUUGUUCACGUUUCCAUGGUGAGAGGUUUUCUAAACAGGUAUAUCAUAAUUAAUAAUAAUAAUGAUCAUCAUUAUUAUUAUUAAUUAAUAAUAGUAAUCGUUAAUGAUGAUAUAAUAAUAAUAAUAAUAAUAAUAAUGAUAAUAAUAGCUAAAAUGUGACAGGACUCGUCGUAAUCAUAAUGUAAAUAGAUGUAUCUGUGUGGACGUGACAUCAUGUUGGCAGAUUUUGAGUGUGUGUGUGCGUGUGUGCGUGUGUGUGUGCGUGUGUGCGUGUGUGUGUGUGUGUGUGUGUGUGCGUGUGUGUGUGGACUAAUAUUUACUAAACAAAUGAAUGUGCGCGCGCGCGGAACAGUAACAUGUAAAUAGACGAGCAAAAAGAAAAACGUAGAGCUUCGCUAAAACCGGCCAUUAUAAGCUGCGCUGGUCAGGUGAGUUGAUAGACCUGUACUAGUCAUUAUUACUCGUGUGUGUGUGUGUGUGUGUGUGUGAUGUGCUGCUGCGAUUUCUCAGCGAAUCGAGUUCAUUGUCCGGAUUUUCUCAUUCUCGUCUUGGAACUGCUGUACUGGGUAUCACAGUAUAUCGGUAUCACAGCCACAUAUUAUCCCGCCCCUAGAAUCUCUCUCUCUCGCAUAAUUGCUUGAACGUCCGGGUCUAAACAUCACAUUCAACAUUCUGUGAUAUAAAAAUUACUAACAAUAUAACCUACUGUGUUUGUUAUUUUUGUUGUGUGGUUUGUGACUCCGAGAAAUGAAUUUACGAUUCUGUUUGCAAUUCUUUAUUAUUUACUUAUAUACUUGGGUAUUUUACCUUCUGAAAGCAGGCUCUUCCGUUAACGCACGAUUCCGUACCUUUGGACGAAAACGAACGAGGUGGAGUGGUAGAAGUAACAAAAGAUGACUAAAAUAUCUGAUGCAAUAAUUGUUAAUCAUAUUCCGAAUUUGGUCCAGUCCAGUGUCGAUGUCACUCGGAUUAGUAUAAGACCUUCAGUUUGUUACAAGUUAUUAUUAUACGCUGUUGAAAUGUGCAACACACAUAAGUGCUGCACCUAUUGUGAAGCAACAAGAAGAGUGUGUGUUCGCUUCACUUGUUAGAAAUAGCAGCCAGAUCUCCCUCAAUUCACACUCUGCCAUCUAAAAAAUGCAACUAAGGAAAUUGGAUAACUUUGUAACCGAAACAAAAAUUCUCUGCUCAUCACAUGGACGCCCUUCAUUGCAUCUCUUCAAUCAAGCGUAACCGGGGGAUAAAUGACUGUACCCACCGUUAGAAAUGUUUUAUACAUAUCUAGAGUGGCAAAACCCCCAUACAGUCACAUUCCUGAUUCUAUCUAGAAAACAAAAUGUUGUUUACCUAAGAGGUGAGACCCAAUAUGGGAUGACUGGGUGCAGCUGAAUGUUGAAAAUUUGGUUGACAGGGCAUUCAUCCUGUUUUGGUGAUAAUAAUGGUUGACUCUGGUGGAGGCACCUACACAGCCAUACACAUACAGAAAUAUACAGAGAGUGAAAGAGGGAGAUGGACAUUACAAUUUGUGCUGGUGCCACAUAAAUAAUACUUGUUACACACUGUAAAGUGGUUGGUGUGAGGACGGCCAUCCAGCCAUAGAAACCCUUCCAAAACCAACAAGUGGAACCUGGUGCAGUACUCCAGUUUGUUGAUAGGAACAGUCAAAUUGUCCAACCCAUGCCAAAAUGGAAAACGGACGUUAAAUGAUGGUGAUAACCUUCCUUCUCAGGCACAGAAGAAUAUAUAUAUAUAUAUAGAGAGAGAGAGAGAAUGUGAGAAACAUUAAAAUGUCUGAUGUCAAGUAAGUCAGCACUGACUCGACAAUGCCAAAACGUUUUGUACUCAGACAAACCUUUCCCUCAGACAAACCCUUCCCUCUCUGACACUUUCCAAUCCCUUACCUUUUCAUUAAUCUGUGACCUGCAUGUUGUCUUUUAUUGUCACGAUGACCAUCUCUGCUCUUUUGAACAUUUCAUAUCUGAGAAGAAAGGCUUCGUCCCCAGAACCCCUUUCAGAUCCUCCUGAGACCAGGCUUGAAUGCUUCCAACUAGGUGGAUGGCCAGAUGGAAGGCCUAACCCUUUUCAUAGCAACUCACUAGACAUUGCCCUGGUUCUAUAAUACACACUUUCUGUUUUAAAGUUAUCUAAAUUAAAAAAAAAAAACCUAUCAAAAAGUUCAUUUUGAUUAAUGUUCCAAACACAACCUGGGCCCAAAUAUUCUCCCUGUUUAUAUUCAAACUGGUGGGAUUUGGUCUUUCAUUCCUGCUCUAGAAUGUCAGUUUAAAAAUAAACAAUCAUAUCCUAAGUUAGGGAAACGGUGAUGAGUGAAAAUAUUCUGUAAACAUAAGUUUUCACUGAAUAUUUUGGCUGUAGAAAAUAAUCUAAUGUUGGGGCUUAUAAAUCCCUGGUGGAAAAAAAAAGGGUUUUUGUAUAUUUACAAACAAUCACAUCAUCGGAAUUUCAUAGUUAUAUGAUAAGGCAUGAUUAAUUCAAGACAAUAAGCAUUACAUGUUUGACAGAAUAAUCUGAAUGGUGAAGGGAUGAAGCUGACUGUUUGACUAAAUUCUUUAUCAUUUUCAAAAUUAAUCAAAAGAAAAAGUAGUGUAUUGCAACAGAAAACACAGGUAAUAAAAUGGUUCGCCCAGGUAACGACUUAAAUGUCUGCUGCCCUGCAACAAGAUCAGCCUCUCCACUCAGCUCCCAUGCUAUUGUUGAUCAACUUAAGGCCUUGAUAGAAGCUAACCCUAGGGUGGCGAGCUGGCAGAAACGUUAGCACGCCAGGCGAAAUGCGUAGCCGUAUUUCGUCUGGCAUUACUUUCUGAGUUCAAAUUCUGCCCAGGCCGACUUUGCCUUUCAUCCUUUUGGGGUCAAUAAAUUAAGUAACAGUUAUGCCCUGGGGUCGAUGUAAUCGACUUAAUCCGUUUGUCUGUCCUUGCUUGUCCUCUCUGUGUUUAGCCCCUUGUGGGUAGUAAAAGAAAUAGAUAGAAGCUAGCCCUGGAUGCUACACAAUGAAAGAGCAUCAUGAAACCAUUGGCUUAUGAAGGGAGGGUGUAUAUAACAGCACAGGGCUUGCAGGGUAGCAGCUAACAAGGUUACUAAUAAUUUUGUUAGUCUUUUUGUUGUUUAAUUCUAAAUUACCUCAUAUGAGCCAUGCUUUCAUAGCCAUGACCAUUGUAUGUUCUUUUUCCAGGCAUAGGAUAUCUGGGACUACAUUAUCCAAUGGUUUUUCUUUAUUUCUAACAGUAAAAUGUGGUAUGAGGGAUAUUUGGCUGCAGUUUCUAACAGGUCAAGUAAUCCUGCAGAAACACACUCAUUUUCUGCUACUGUUAUUUUUGUAUGAAUGUAGGUUUUAUAUGUGUGUGUGUGUAUAUAUAUAUAUAUCUUUUUCACCUUUUAUUUGUUUCAGUCAUCAGAUUGCGGCCAUGCUGGGGCACUUUCUUGAAGAAUUUUUAAUUGAAUGAAACUCCAGUAAUUAUUUUUUUUUUAUAUAUGCUUGGUUCUUAUUCUAUUAACUCUUGCCACCCACACUCAUAUUUGUCUGAGCUGAGUUUUAGCAGAGAUGUAAUAUUAUUGUAGGAUGUUGUGGAUGUAUUUAGAAGUGACUAUAGAAAGGAAUAGACAGGGGCUGCGAGGGCUUGUUGGCUGCAGAAAUGGACAGUAUCACUCCAAUGUCUUGAUGGUUUUAUUAAUUUUGAGUAAUCAUUUUAUAGGUGUCAAUGGUUGAAUGAUGUGGUCUGGGCACAACCUCUGGUCAUUGCAAGGUUGUGUUGUUUUUUGUGAUUGUGGAGAGUUUAAGUGCUUGGGUAGAGCUGGCAUAAUCCAGUGAAGAAGUUAAGAGGGUGGUUGUUUCAGAUUAACUCAGGUCAGCUUUUGAUCAAGAAAAUUUCUCAGGCCAUACUUCUUAGAUGUUGAAGGAUAUCAGUCAACUUCAAGCAUCAGAGACCAUUAUAGUAGCAGUGGCAAAAGUAGUGAGAAGACUAAGUUCUGGAGGUUGGAGGCUGGAGUAUGUUGGUGAGUGACUUCAGGCUAAUCUGUUGGGAGACUCUUUUCAGAGAUACACCAUCAGCUCUCUCCCUCUCUCUCUCACACACUCUCACUCACUCACUCACACAAUAUAUUUCCAACAGUUUCUCUGACAUGAAAGUAAUAUUCUAUCCUGGUUUUUACGUGAGUUUUCAAUUCAGUUCAGUUAACUGUUGGUAGCAGAAAUAUUUCCUGGCCUUGGAAAGGAAGGUCAGUCUUUGUAACAGAGUCUUUCCUAUGUUGAGGAUGUGUGAGUAAUAGGAAGCAUUGGUGUGGUUUAAGAUAUGUCUUGCAACUUGGAGGGUUCUAGUUGUGUAUUGUGUUUAGUGUGUGUAUGGAGGGUUCCAUGAUUGCUUCCUUGGUAUGGUAGUGAUUGCGAAACGAGAUUGCCAUAACCUUGUUGGGGAAUACAAACACAGACACCUCUUGGGAUUAGUCAGACUCCUACUUCUUGAAGAUGGCGGCGGCGGCGGUCAGUCCUCAUUGAAUGGACACAGGAUGACAGACAUUCCACUAUGACCAUUCUAUAUUUAGUACUACAUUAUACAAUGUGUUCUUUUUCAAGAUAGAAGGCUGAGAUUUGAGGGAAAUUUGGCUGCUAUUUCCAGCAAGUCUUGUGUCCUAGAAGACCCUUACUGACUCUUGUGGUGGUGUUAGAUGUAAUGGUGGAUGUCCUUUAUAGAAGCAAUGACAAUGACCAUCACAACUUUCAAUUAACCCCCCCCUUCUCUCUCGUAGCAUUUUAGGUACCUCUAAACAUCUGUAUUUGAUGGGGUAGGUUAGGGGUGGGAUGGGGCCUGUAAUGCACUCCUCACUCUGUUGAGGCAAUGUUAGAAAGAAGUGUUUUUUGAGGGACAUUUUAGGGUUUAUUGAAAUGUGUAGCUACAGUGUGUUGCUUCUCUCUUACUUGUUCCAGUCAUUGGACUAAGCCAUGCUGGAGCAACACCUUGGAAGAUUUAGUUGAGCAGAACUAAGUAAUGGGGAUGUAAACAAACCAACAGCAGUUGGCAAUUGGUGGUGGGGAAUCAAACAAACACACAAACACAUAUACAAUGGGUUUCCACAGAGUUUCUAAGGCCUUGGUCAGUCCUAGGCUAUUGUAAAAAAAAAAUUGCUCAAGGUGUCAUGCUCUGGGACUGAACCCAAAUCCACAGAUUUGCAAAGCAAGCUCCUUAAUCGCACAGACACUCCUGCACCUGGCCAAAAAAAAAGCAUAAAAAGACAAAGAAAAGAACUGAAAAACUUGGACAAAAUUUAGGAAAAAAUGUUUUUUGGUUUAAUAAUAAUAAAAAUACUGAAGGAAUUUUCAUAAGAAAAUAAGACUGAGAUGAAAGAGAAAGGAUUUUGUAAAGAAGUUCUGAGUGGAAAAGACAAGGAAAGAAACUGGUAAAUGAAGGAAAGCAGCGAAGGAGAAUGGGGAGGAGAGGGAAUAGAAGAAGAAGAAGAAGCGGCUUUCUGUUUUCUUUUCUUGUCUUUGUAGGGUUAAGUUAUGGCUGUGUGGUCAAGAAGCUUGCUUUGCUACCAAAUAGUUUCAGGUUCACUUCCUCUGUGGAGCACCAACUUCAGGCCUGUGACAACCAAUGUCUACUGAGAUGGUUUGGUAGAUGUAAGCUGUGUGGAAGCUUGUUGUGUGUGUGGUCAUCAUCAUCAUCAUCAUUAUUUAAUGUCCAAUAUACCAUGCUGGCAUGGGUUGGACAGCUUGACAGGAGGUAGGCAAGGCUGGAGAGCUGCACUAGGUUCCAUUGUCUGUUUCGGCACGGUUUCUACAGCUUGAUGCCCUUCCUCAUGCCAACCACUUUACAGAGUGGACUGGGUGCUUUUUAUGUGGUGUCAGCACAGUGCCUAUUAUGUGUGUGCGUGUGUUUGUCUACCCCCCCCCAUCUGCUUUAUAACUGGUGCUGGUUUGUUUAUGUCCCCAUGCAGUUUAGCAUGUGAGACUGAUAGAAUAUAUACCAGACUUUAAAAGAUAAAUACUGGUUACAAGUUGUUUGAAUAAACCCUUCAGGACAGUGCCCCAACCUGGCCACAAUCCAGUGAAUGAAACAAGUAAAAAGAGAAAAUACAAACUGUUGGAUCAGGUGAUGAAAGUUAGAGAGAGAGAGAGCCAUAGCCCAACUAAUUAGGCAGAGAGUUAGUCCAGGUGUGAUGCAGUUUGGUUUUGUGCCAGGUAGAAGCACCACUGAUGCUAUAUUUCUGGUAAGGCAGCUGCAGGAGAAAUACAUAGCCAAAGGUAAACCUCUGUACUUGGCCUUUGUUUACUUGGAGAAAGCCUUUGACAGGGUCUCCCAAUCCCUUAUCUGGUGGUUGAUGCAGAAACUAGGGAUAGACAAGUGGUAGGUGAGAGCUGUAUAAGCUAUGUACAGGGAUGCUACCAGUAAGCAACAAGUACGGCAAAGAAUUCAGGGUACAAGUAGGGAUUCACCAAAGAUCAGUCUUCAACCUCCUCUUGUUCAUCAUAGUUCUCCAGGCAAAAACAGAGAAAUUUAAAACUGGCUGCCCCUGGGAGCCCCUCUAUAAUGAUGAUGACCUUGUUCUUAUAGCUGAAUCACUCCAGGACUAGAGAAGUUCCAGGUAUGGAAGCAAGGUCUAGAAUCGAAGGGCCUUAGAGUUAACCUAGCAAAAGCCAAAAUUUUAAUAAGUAGGAAGGCAGACAAAUCACAAAUCCCUUCAGAUAGAGCUCCUACCUCUGCAGGAAACAAAGGGCCUCUCCCUCUGAGUGAAAGGCAGAUUGUACAAUGCCUGUGUAUGAACAGCUAUGUUAUAUGGUAGUGAAACAUGUAACUUCUGAGGACAUGUGAAGCCAGUAUGCUUUGCUGGAUGUGCAAUGUCAGUGUGCAUGUUCACUAGGGUGUAAGCUUCUCGAGAGAAAAAACUUGGGAAUAAGCGGCAUCAGACUGUGUUGGUAUGGUCAUAUGAGGUGUAAGGACAAGGACGGCUAUAUAAAGAAGUGCUAAUCUCUAAUUGUGGAAGGGGUAGACCCACCCAAGUGAAAUUGUAGUCGUGGCUGAUGCUCGUGUCCUUUUGCUGGUAGCAUGUAAGAAGCACCUUUCAAGUGUUGGGCCUCAUGGAGGCAAAGUGGCUGGGCUCGUUUUGAGUGUUGGGCCUCUCGGAGGCAAAGACUGAGACCUUUGGCAUUAUGUCGUGCUUGAGAAGAAAACUCAUCAAAACCGUAGUCAUGGCAGAUACUGGUGCCAUGCAAAUGGCACCUGUGCCAGUGGCAUGUAAAAGCACUCAUUACAUUCUCGGAGUGGUUAGCAUUAGGAAGUGCAUCCAGCCGUAGAAAACCAUGCCAAGUCAGACUGGAGUCUGGUGCAGCCUUCCAGCUUACCAACCCUGGUCAAACCGUCCAACCCAUGCCAGCAUGGACGACAGAUGUGAAAUGAUGAUGAUGUACCUUUUCAGGAAUCGGUAACCCCAACCCUCUGAAGCCCUUCACUCCUCGAUUUUUCACAUCUUUUGCCUUCAUUAAUUAUCAUUUUGGGAAAUAAGCAUUUUUUUCUUCUCUCUCCCUUUCUCCCUCCCUUCCUCUCUCCCCACCCUUCUCUCCCUCCCUCCCACUCUCUUUCUCUCACUAUUCCUUUUAUUUGUCAGCCAGUCCCUUUUUCUUUUCCUUUUUAUUAUACCCUGUCCACCUCAAGAGAUGGGUAAUGAAGGCUAGUGGUCCUUGGCACAAGUCUACCAGGUUCACUUUGCAGGAAAUGCUUCGGGUUCCUAGCUUUGUUUGUCUGGCCAUAACAUUGAGAGUAAAGAAUCUUCCAAUGCAGGCACUUUCCUCUCAUUUUGUUCUAUCAUUUCUAUUCUUAUAAUAAUAAUAAUAAUAAUAAUCUCAAAAUACAAAGACCUGGAAAUAGAGGUAACCAGAAUGUGGAAUCUGAAAACAGAAACAAUUCCUAUCAUAGUAGGUGCAUUAGGCAUGAUAAAAAAAUAUUCAGACAAAUACAUAACAAAAACACCAGGACUUACAAACACAUAUAACAUACAGAAAAUUGCACUACUAGGCACUGCACACAUCCUACGCAGAACAUUUUCCAUACAAUUACCAUCACAGCAUCACAACAAAUCACAGCACAUACCCAAGGCACACAGAACUAUAAUAAUAAUAAUAAUAAUAAUAAUAAUAAUAAUAAUAAUAAUAAUAAUAAUAAUAAUAAUAAUAAUAAUAAUGAUAAUAACAAUAAUUUGGCUGCUAUUUCUAGCAAUGAACCUCAUUAGCUUUGUAGAGUCUUUUCUGUGUAUAUGUAGAAUCAAUAUGGAAUUGUAAUUUUGGUUGAAGCAAAGAUAUUCAGAUCCUGUUUUGGUUAACAGCUUCCACUUAAUGGUGUAUACUUCUGUUUUAUGAGGAUGGAUUUAAUGAGAAAUAUGGUUCCGAAUGAAGGCCACUACAUGCAGCCCAUGAUCUGUGUAAAGUGCAGACACAGAAGACAGAUUUUGCAUUCUAAACUUGAUCAAGUUGAUCUUGUACCUAGUGACAGAGGCUUUGUCGUUAGUGGACACUAGUAUAUUCGUGUGAGUAGUAGUAGGAGGAGUGGUGCUACUGAAGUGCAUGUGCUUGUCUUAGUUUCUUUGUAAUGGACAAUGUUCUAUACAAAGAGUAGACGGUGGUGGUGGUGGUGGUGGUGGUAGUGCAAGAUGCAACAGCACAUCUGACUGCAUGUCAUUUAGUAGCCAGUGGAUAGUGGAUCAGAGGCUUAAUUAGUUAUUGAUUAAUGACUUAGGAUGAUGGAGUAAACUUGAAGACAUCGUUGCCUAAUAUGAUGGAUGGGCGGGGCUACAUACAGGGAUUGUCUAUCACCUUCACAAUUAACCGUUUAAAAUCUACACAUGUAUAGGUAUAUAUAUAUAUCAUCAUCACCAUCAUCAUCGUUUAACGUCCGCUUUCCAUGCUGGCAUGGGUUGGACGGUUUUGACUGAGGACUGGCGAACCAGAUGGCUGCACCAGGCUCCAAUCUCGAUCUGGCAGAGUUUCUACAGCUGGAUGCCCUUCCCAACGCCAACCACUCUGAGAGUGUGGUGGGUGCUUUUACAUGCCACCGGCACGGGGUCCAGUCAGGCGGUACUGGCAACAACCUCACUUGAAUCUUUUUACACAUGCCACUUGCACAGGUGCUAGUAAGGCGAUGCUGAUAACGAUCCCGUUCGAAUGGUGCCUUUUACGUGCCACUGGCAUGGAAGCCAGUUAGUCGCUCUGGCAACGGUCACGCUUGGAUGGUGCUCUUAGCACCUUACUAGCAUGGGGCUGUGUGUGUAAUACUUAAAACAUCUACUUUUCCAUGCUUGCAUGGCAGAUUUGUCUCUAACUGGAUGCUCUCCCUGUCGCCCACCCUCACCUGGUAAUAUUUCCCUAUGGCUGCUUGGCAUGUUUGUCCAGAAUAUGGGAAACGAUUGACACUGCUUAUAUGAGAGUGACGCUCAUUUACAACUCUCAUGCGCUGUCACACACACAUCCAUACAUGCAUGUCCUCUUGCAUACGUCUACAUAUGCACUUAUGUAUGCCAACAUAUAUGUUUGCAUACACAUAUAUUCAAGUAUACACCAGGCUCUACACACUCACAUACUUGUAGGAUGCUAAUGUAGUCACCUGCUGUGUUGCUAUUUCAUCUUCAAUUAUAAUGUUUAUGAAGCCAAACUCUUGCUGGCACCAGUGUUAUUUUUUGAGGGUCAAAGUUCAAAGUCAACGUGACUUGCAAGGUCAACCCCAGAAAGUACCCCUUUGCUUUUUUAUGUGUUUUUUAAAUGUGAGAAAGAAGAGCAUUUAUAUAUCUUUUGUAAAUGUUCAACCAACAGAGAUAAGGUUAGUGUUGUUAUGCAACCUGACUGAUUGACUCUGAUUGAGCAGAGAUAGGCUUUAUAGGUCAUUGGAACUCACAGAGCAAUUCUUUUCUUUUCUUUUUUUUUUGUUUUUUUUUGCUUAUUAUUGCUGCUUCUCAACAAUGUGUCUUCAGGUUCUGUCCUACUCUACAGCUCUUUGGGCCAAUGUCUUCUACUCUAAUUCCUGCUUUACCAGUAUCUUACGAAGGAGUUUUGACGGACAGAAAUCUAAUGAAUGGUUCUGUUAGGUGACCAUUCUCCCAAGCAAUCGAGCAGAUGUCGCUUAGUGGUUAGGGCGAUCCAACCGCAGAAAAUCGGAGUUCAAACCGGCAUUGCCUUGAGAUCAGCUGCCAAAUAUUGAUGCUCGACCCUAUCAGCUGGCAAAUAUGAGCCCUGCCUGUAAUUUCGUCUACCCACCAUUUCAUGAUGAAGUGCAUCCUGGUAGAGGUUGUCGGGUUCCUGUCUGUGGAAUACUGCCACUCACCAUUAAUUUCUACGACAAGCGCCGAUCUCUUGGCCAACACCUUGGCCAAAAUCUUCAGACCUGAUGAAGGGCCUGAUAUAUAUGAUAUAUAAAUAUAUAUAUAACAUAUGUUCUCCUUGUUUGGGUCCUAUAUAAACAGUAGUGCCAACGCCCAUCGAUUCACAAAAGUGGGGAAUUCUCUCAUUUUGUUGCUGCACUUGCGGUAGACGUCUGCUAGGCGCGAAAACAAAGUGAUCGAAAUGAGACAACUCGCAGGGCAUCUCAAAUGACAGGCAUCUGUUUCAUCUUUGUUUUGACUCUUAUCAAUACUGCAUACCUGAUGUCUUGCUUGUCUGUGACUUAUUUUCAGGAACGUUGACAAGAUGUUCUCUUACACCUAAAAUGCAGCCGACCCAGCACACACACACCUUGUCUGUUUGAUUUUGUUUAUACACACACACACACACCUUGUCUGUUUGAUUUUGUUUAUACACACACACACACACCUUGUCUGUUUGAUUUUGUUUAUACACACACACACACACACACACCUUGUCUGUUUGAUUUUGUUUAUACACACACACACACACACAUAUAUAUAUAUAUAUAUAUAUAUAUAUAUAUAUAUAUAGCUGGGUGAACUUGGCAUGGGGAAUGGAAAACGCAAUGUUUUGGACUGUCUAAAUGAAAAUACAAACCUGGCCAAUGUGCAUCACGCUUUGGAGCUUGAUCAUCUUAUGUGAUGAUGAUGAUGAUGAUGAUGAUACAUGAUGAUGAUGAUGAUGACAACGAUGAUGCGCGAUGAUGCUUUUGAUUUCCUCUCAUAUUGACCACAAAGGAUAUGGGUUGCACCAGGAAGUGCAUUGAACUGUAAGAUUCUACUUCAAAUUUACUCCUAAACAAAUGUUAAAGGAAAUCAAAAACUUACAUGUGAAAAUGGACAGCAAUUUUUUUGUGUGUUUUGGAAAACCUCGGAGAAAAGUGAGAAGUUAUUGUCAUGUUUACAAUGAUGGAAACUGCAGGGAGCAGAAAAUGAUGGACUGAGUUUGCAACUGAAGUGGUUUCAGAUUCAGUGCCAUUGUGUAGUACCAACUUUGGCAUGCGUCUUCUAUCAUAGCUCUGAGUUAACCAAAGCCUUGUGAGUGGAUUUCAAUAGAUGGAACUGAAAGAAACCUGUUGUGUGUAUAUGUACAUACACAUAUGUGUAUGUAUGUUGUACAAAGUAUGUGUAUGUUUGUGUCUUUAUAUCAUGUGAUAGUUGUAAAUGAGCAUCACUGUCAUACAAGUGUGGUUGUUUGUUUCCUGUGUGGCCAUGAGGAAAUCUUACCUUACUUGGAAACGGUUGAGGGUUGAUGAGAGGAAGAGUGUCCAGCCAUAGAAAAUCUGCCUCAACAGAUUCUGUCUAACCCGUGUAAGAAUGGGUAAGUGAAUGUUAUGUGAUGAUAACAGCAGGAAAUGAAGAGCCUUGCCCAAGGGCACAAUGUGCUGCCGGACCCUGCUAGUCCAACAACCUAACCAUCAAACCCCUCACACCAUCAUGAUGAAAGUAUUUUCUCGGGUAAUAAUUGCGUUUGCUGCAUUCUGUUGGUUCUUCCAUUGGUGUCAUGUGUUUGGUUGGAGGACAAAUAGAUUGAUAUUCAUAAAACUCAGAAGUUGGUUACGAAAGAUAAAGCAUGUCUCCACAGAUAACGAGGGAGAAAGAGAAAGAGAGAGAAAGAGAUAAACUGAAGAUGGAAUGCAAGCUGGAAUAAUGUCAACUAUUUAGCAGAGGUAGAGGCACGGCUUCCAAACCACAUGGUUCAGGGUUCAGUCUCACUGCAUGGCAUCUUGGGCAGUGAAAUCUGCUGAAGUCACCCAAAGACCAGAUGGUGAUGUUGUCGUUAAACUGGACACUGGCUUUUGUCUGCCAUCCAAAAUCUUACCAGAAAAAAGCUGGGAACAGAUUCUGUAACACAUCUCAUCCAGUGCCCUAACAAUUUUACAUAUUCCCUGUUCCUGAACUUUAUUUUAUUAACCCCAAAAGCAUGAAAGGCAACAUUGAUCUUGGCAAGAUUUGAACUCAGAAAACCUCAACAAAUAUCACAAGGCAGUUUAUCCUAUAUUCUAACUCCUCUGCUAAUUCACUUGGAUGGUAUUUAGGGUUAGUGUUAUAUUAGGGUUUGUUUUUAUUAGGAAUAAUGAGAAAUCCAUAUUCCUUUGGGGAGUUUGCAGCUCUUAGGUAGGGGUGGGUAUUUUGUUUAUUUAGAGCAAAGGUGUGUGGCCUAGUGGCUAGGGUAUUGCAGUUAGGAUUGUAACAUCAGGGUUUCAGUUCCCAAACUGGGCAAUGCACCAUGUUGAACAAAACCCUUCAGUUGCUCUUUCUCUGAUCUGUGAUGUAGUGCUGUCCUGUUCUGUUGAGAAUGUUGUGAUCUUGGUCAGUUACAUGUUAUGGAAAGUGGGUAACUAGGCCCUGCAGGAGUUGUAAGGGGUCAAAAUACCAUUGUUUUUUUUUAAUUUUAAAUUCAAACAACAGGCUGGUUAGGGGGUCACCAAUUGUGUGGAGAGUACAAGGAAUGUUGAUGUUGUUUUUUAGCCCUUAGCUCUUUAGGCAUUCCAACUGUGAUGGACCCUUUUUUUUUUUUCAGGCACAGUGUAUUCCAGUUACAACAAUGUGUCCUUUUUUAUUAAGACGGUAAAGUGUGAUUUAAGGGAGAUUUGGUUGCUAUUUCUGGCAUAUCAAGUAAUCGUGUAGAGGCUCCCUCAUUGGCUCAUGAGAGAUGUCUUCUCAUACGG